rnacentral:rRNA from 1 species
GACGAACGCUGGCGGCGUGCCUAAUACAUGCAAGUCGAACGCACUCUCGUUUAGAUUGAAGGAGCUUGCUCCUGAUUGAUAAACAUUUGAGUGAGUGGCGGACGGGUGAGUAACACGUGGGUAACCUGCCCUAAAGUGGGGGAUAACAUUUGGAAACAGAUGCUAAUACCGCAUAAAACCUAACACCGCAUGGUGUAGGGUUGAAAGAUGGUUUCGGCUAUCACUUUAGGAUGGACCCGCGGUGCAUUAGUUAGUUGGUGAGGUAAAGGCUCACCAAGACCGUGAUGCAUAGCCGACCUGAGGGGGUAAUCGGCCACACUGGGACUGAGACACGGCCCAGACUCCUACGGGAGGCAGCAGUAGGGAAUCUUCCACAAUGGACGAAAGUCUGAUGGAGCAAACGCCGCGUGAGUGAAGAAGGUUUUCGGAUCGUAAAACUCGUGUUGUUGGAGAAGAAUGUAUCUGAUAGUAACUGAUCAGGUAGUGACGGUAUCCAACCAGAAAGCCAACGGC